ACCAUCCCAUACAGUGAGGCAGCAGAUCUAGAACACCAUGAAAAAAUGGCAAAUCGUUAGCUACUUAUUUUGAAAAUAAAAGAAUCAGCUGAAAUCUAAGGGGAUAUGAUGCGACAACAAAAUGUCAUAAUAAAGCCAUGUGUUUCACAUCAGACAUUUAAAUGUCUGAAUGCAAAAAAAAUUAAAAGAGCAUGAUCCACAUUGAAUUUGUUGAGAUGAAGCACAUGCAAGCUUCCAAAAGCACUAGAAAGGUGAGAACCUUCCUCAUCAGAUGCAUGGGCUGCCCCAGAUUGGAAGAUAUACACAUAAUGGUGUAGGAGAGUAAGUUAUCUGUCUUACUCUGAAUAGAAAGGAACACUUCUGGAACAUGAUAGCAUGCACUCCCUCG